rnacentral:rRNA from 1 species
UACGGGGGGGGCAAGCGUUGUUCGGAAUUACUGGGCGUAAAGGGCUCGUAGGUGGCCAACUAAGUCAGACGUGAAAUCCCUCGGCUUAACCGGGGAACUGCGUCUGAUACUGGAUGGCUUGAGUUUGGGAGAGGGAUGCGGAAUUCCAGGUGUAGCGGUGAAAUGCGUAGAUAUCUGGAGGAACACCGGUGGCGAAGGCGGCAUCCUGGACCGGCAUUGACGCUGAGGAGCGAAAGCUAGGGGAGCAAACGGG